GUUUGAUCCUGGCUCAGGAUGAACGCUAGCGGCAGGCCUAACACAUGCAAGUCGAACGGUAACAGGGAAAAGCCUAGCUUUUCCGCUGACGAGUGGCGCACGGGUGCGUAACGCGUAUAGAACCUACCUUUUACUAGGAAAUAGCCCAUGGAAACGUGGAUUAAUGUCCCAUAAUAACAUUUAAUGGCAUCAUUUGAAUGUUUAAAGCUUCGGCGGUAGAAGAUGGCUAUGCGUCCCAUUAGUUAGUAGGCGAGGUAACGGCUCACCUAGGCUUCGAUGGGUAGGGGCCCUGAGAGGGGGAUCCCCCACACUGGUACUGAGACACGGACCAGACUCCUACGGGAGGCAGCAGUGAGGAAUAUUGGACAAUGGAGGCAACUCUGACCCAGCCAUGCCGCGUGCAGGAAGACUGCCCUAUGGGUUGUAAACUGCUUUUAUACGGGAAGAAACCCACCUACGUGUAGGUGGCUGACGGUACCGUAAGAAUAAGGACCGGCUAACUCCGUGCCAGCAGCCGCGGUAAUACGGAGGGUCCGAGCGUUAUCCGGAAUCAUUGGGUUUAAAGGGUCCGCAGGCGGCCAGAUAAGUCAGUGGUGAAAUUCCGUGGCUCAACCACGGAACUGCCAUUGAUACUGUUUGGCUUGAAUCAGUUCGAGGAUGCCGGAAUGUGUGGUGUAGCGGUGAAAUGCAUAGAUAUCACACAGAACACCAAUUGCGAAGGCAGGUGUCCAGAACUGUAUUGACGCUGAUGGACGAAAGCGUGGGUAGCGAACAGGAUUAGAUACCCUGGUAGUCCACGCCGUAAACG
rnacentral:rRNA from 1 species